GACGAACGCUGGCGGCGUGCUUAACACAUGCAAGUCGAACAGAAAGGCCUGCUUUCCCUUGUGGAUUGCGGGUACUCGAGUGGCGAACGGGUGAGUAACACGUGAGUGAUCUGCCCCCAACUUGGGUAUAAGCCUGGGAAACUGGGUCUAAUUCCCGAUAGGACUGCAGGGUGGUGCCUGUGGUGGAAAACGAUUUUCUAGUGGUUGGGGGUGAGCUCGCGGCCUAUCAGCUUGUUGGUGGGGUAAUGGCCUACCAAGGCGGCGACGGGUAGCCGGCCUGAGAGGGUGGACGGCCACAUUGGGACUGAGAUACGGCCCAGACUCCUACGGGAGGCAGCAGUGGGGAAUAUUGCACAAUGGGCGGAAGCCUGAUGCAGCGACGCCGCGUGGGGGAUGACGGCCUUCGGGUUGUAAACUCCUUUCGACCGCGAGGAAGCCACCUGGUUGGAAGGGUGGUGACGGUAGUGGUAGAAGAAGCACCGGCUAACUACGUG
rnacentral:rRNA from 1 species